rnacentral:rRNA from 1 species
CAGCCGCCACGGUAAUACGAAGGGUGCAAGCGUUAAUCGGAAUUACUGGGCGUAAAGCGUGCGUAGGCGGUGAGUUAAGUCUGCUGUGAAAUCCCCGGGCUCAACCUGGGAAUGGCAGUGGAUACUGGCUCGCUAGAGUGUGUCAGAGGAUGGUGGAAUUCCCGGUGUAGCGGUGAAAUGCGUAGAGAUCGGGAGGAACAUCAGUGGCGAAGGCAGCCAUCUGGGAUAACACUGACGCUGAGGCACGAAAGCGUGGGGAGCAAACAGGAUUAGAGACCCCGGUAGUCCCUGUCUCUUAUAA